GUAUGUGCGAGUAGACCCCUUGCGAUGAAGGUGUAAACCGUCGGACUUCCGUCGAGGAACUGAAUCGCAACGAUCGCCGCUCGGCACGUGAAACCCCCAGCCAAUCGAGUUCGAGCCGCGUGCGAUCGCAAGGGAAACCCCUGAGGAAAGUUGUGUGGAAGGGAUUUGUUCAGUGUGUUCCGGAGUGGUACGUCGGGUUGAUGUUCCGAACUGGUAUGUCAGGUUGCGAUUGCUUUUUAUUGUUGUUGUUGUUGUUGUUGUUGAACAAAACAAACCGCGGUUUGCAGGGGAGACAGUGGCAAAAGAACCAAUAAACAAUCCUUGUCUGCUAACAA